rnacentral:rRNA from 1 species
GAACGGGUGAGUAAUAUAUCGGAACGUGCCCAGUCGUGGGGGAUAACGCAGCGAAAGCUGUGCUAAUACCGCAUACGAUCUCUGGAUGAAAGCGGGGGACUCGCAAGAGCCUCGCGCGAUUGGAGCGGCCGAUAUCAGAUUAGCUAGUUGGUGGGGUAAAAGCUCACCAAGGCGACGAUCUGUAGCUGGUCUGAGAGGACGACCAGCCACACUGGAACUGAGACACGGUCCAGACUCCUACGGGAGGCAGCAGCGGGGGAUUUUGGACAAUGGGCGCAAGCCUGAUCCAGCAAUGCCGCGUGCAGGAUGAAGGCCUUCGGGUUGUAAACUGCUUUUGUACGGAACGAAACGGCUCUUUCUAAUAAAGAGGGCUAAUGACGGUACCGUAAGAAUAAGCACCGGCUAACUACGUGCCAGCAGCCGCGGUAAUACGUAGGGUGCGAGCGUUAAUCGGAAUUACUGGGCGUAAAGCGUGCGCAGGCGGUGAUGUAAGACAGAUGUGAAAUCCCCGGGCUCAACCUGGGACCUGCAUUUGUGACUGCAUCGCUAGAGUACGGUAGAGGGGGAUGGAAUUCCGCGUGUAGCAGUGAAAUGCGUAGAUAUGCGGAGGAACACCGAUGGCGAAGACAAUCCCCUGGACCUGUACUGACGCUCAUGCACGAAAGCGUGGGGAGCAAACAGGAUUAGAUACCCUGGUAGUCCACGCCCUAAACGAUGUCAACUGGUUGUUGGGUCUUUACUGACUC